AAUGAAGUGAUUCAAGGGAAGCAGUCAAGUAGACGAGGAGAAGCGGUACACUGUACUACGGCCAGUCACUCUCCAUUUCUCCACCUCCUAGCAUGGACGAGGAGCGACGACGAGUAGUCGUCGGCAAUAGACUCAGAUGGAUCUCCCAUGGGGCUAUGUCUUGUGAACAUGUGACUUUUUGAACUGUGGUGAGCGCCUUUUUCCUUCAGCUUUGUUGACUGUCUUUUUCUCUCUCUCUCUUUAGUUUUUGUGAAUUCGUGAUCUAUAAUAAAUAAUUUAUGUUGUUCGAGUUAUAAGUUAUAAUUUAUCAUUUAUGAGUUUUGAUAUGUGAUUUGGGAAUUUAGGUUUAGGAAAUAAGGGAUAAGUGAAAAAAAUUGUUGGAAUUUAUGAGUUUUGAUUUGUGAUUUGGGAAUUUAGGUUAAGAAAAUUAGGGAUAAGUGAAAAAAAAAAUUGUUGGAGAAUAUGCUGGGCUAGUGGGCUCAAUAGUAAUAAACAACAUCGCUAUUAUCAUGGUUGUCUAUGGUCAACAGUCAACUGCCCUAGUUGACCACCGAUCCUGGAUUCAUCACUGGUUGAGCCCUAUAGUAAGUUUAGUAGAGGUUUAACUUUUGAUAGGACUAGGGAAUUUUAAAAGAUGAGUUUAGUAAAUAUGUUGAUCAGUUACCCUAGAGUGGUGAAAUUCAUUAAUGAUUAUGAGCAAAGAAUGGUUGGUGUUUGGCCAAUUUUUUUGUCCAACUGUCAAUUAUUUUCACGCUUAAACAUAUGAACUAUGAACAGAUGUCCCCUUACUACUUUGCAUUGCCAACAGAAAUGAAGGGGUCUGUCCACAUUUCGAGCUUUAGUAGCAUAACUAUUAUGACUGGUGGCACAUUCAUGAUUCAUCCACCUUAAAGAAGCAAAAACCCCCCUUACUGUGCCGUAAUAGAUUUUUUAUUUUUUUAUUUUUUAUCCUUUUAUUUAUUUGCUCAAUGGAACUUUUUCUUAUACUUUGUAACGACAUAUUUGAAGGUCAUUUGUUAUUGCUGAAUCAUUUCUUUUUGGAGAAGUUUGAGAAUUUUUAAUUUAGACUCAUCAAUUAAGUUUUACUGCUCUUUGCUUAUAAUUAUAUUUAUAAGAAAAAUUGAAUCUGGAUGUGCUCAAUGAAAAAGGAAGGAAAAUGUUACGUGUUGUCAUACUUGGCCAACCUACAUGGGCCUAUGACCCACUCAUUCCGAACCACGUGGCAUUAUAGCCGGAGUGGGCUGAAUGGCCGACACCCUUUAUUCCGAGGCCCAUAUGCCGAAGCUUGUGAAACUAACCGAGGCCUGUGAAGAUAGUCGAAGCUCUACAGCGAAAGUACUACAUGACUGGCAGAAGCCUUGAAUCUGAAUUAGAAGCCUCUGACCCAUGAAGAAACGUCUUCCAUGGUCACUUCUCCCAAGAGAUCUCCUACAUAAGGAUCUGGUUAGAAUGAUUGAUGGAACGUUUGUCAUAAGUGCAUAUGUCAGGUCUUAUCACUAGCAUGGGGGUUCUGUACAAGCAAUAAAUGCGCAUCAAGCUAGCAAGUCAAGAGUGAUACCUAGGAUUGGAUGUUUGAAUUAAGAAGAUAAGACCACGUGUCACCUCAUCUAAGGGCUGUCAUUUCACAUGUAACACUGUAAAUACUUCCAUUGUAUAACAUUGAAAGGCUAAUGCAAGAAUUAAUACAAGAAACCACA
rnacentral:lncRNA from 1 species